CCUACGGGGGGCUGCAGUGGGGAAUAUUGCACAAUGGGCGCAAGCCUGAUGCAGCCAUGCCGCGUGUGUGAAGAAGGCCUUCGGGUUGUAAAGCACUUUCAGCGGGGAGGAAGGUGGUGAGGUUAAUAACCUCAUCGAUUGACGUUACCCGCAGAAGAAGCACCGGCUAACUCCGUGCCAGCAGCCGCGGUAAUACGGAGGGUGCAAGCGUUAAUCGGAAUUACUGGGCGUAAAGCGCACGCAGGCGGUCUGUCAAGUCGGAUGUGAAAUCCCCGGGCUCAACCUGGGAACUGCAUUCGAAACUGGCAGGCUAGAGUCUUGUAGAGGGGGGUAGAAUUCCAGGUGUAGCGGUGAAAUGCGUAGAGAUCUGGAGGAAUACCGGUGGCGAAGGCGGCCCCCUGGACAAAGACUGACGCUCAGGUGCGAAAGCGUGGGGAGCAAACAGGAUUAGAUACCCCAGUAGUC
rnacentral:rRNA from 1 species